rnacentral:lncRNA from 1 species
UACUGGCUCUCGCUUAUUAUCCUCGUUGGCAUCUACGUGUACGGAAUUUAUAUAUCGCUGACCGCUUCCAAGUAUCUCUACACCAUGGAGAGCUACACUUACGAAGGAGAACCUGUACGACCCGACCAAAUCCACAAGAGGCAAAGAGCGCGCAAGAAGGGCAUCGCGGCGCCAUUAAUCCUCAACGAAGACGAGCGCCUCAGAAGCGAGGAUGCAGAGCGGCUGCGGCAGAUACGUCUACGAAAGGCAAUGAUGGCGCCUGACACUCAACUGAAGUA